AACGCUAGCUACAGGCUUAACACAUGCAAGUCGAGGGGAAACGAUAUUGGAAGCUUGCUUCCGAUAGGCGUCGACCGGCGCACGGGUGAGUAACGCGUAUCCAACCUGCCCACCACUUGGGGAUAACCUUGCGAAAGUAAGACUAAUACCCGAUGAUAUCUCUAGACGACAUCUGAAAGGGAUUAAAGAUUUAUCGGUGAUGGAUGGGGAUGCGUCUGAUUAGCUUGUUGGCGGGGUAGCGGCCCACCAAGGCAACGAUCAGUAGGGGUUCUGAGAGGAAGGUCCCCCACACUGGUACUGAGACACGGACCAGACUCCUACGGGAGGCAGCAGUGAGGAAUAUUGGUCAAUGGGCGAGAGCCUGAACCAGCCAAGUCGCGUGAGGGAAGACGGUCCUAAGGAUUGUAAACCUCUUUUGUCGGGGAGCAAGAAAGGGUAUGCAUACCCUACUGAGAGUACCCGAAGAAAAAGCAUCGGCUAACUCCGUGCCAGCAGCCGCGGUAAUACGGAGGAUGCGAGCGUUAUCCGGAUUUAUUGGGUUUAAAGGGUGCGCAGGCGGGCUGUCAAGUCAGCGGUAAAAUAGCGGGGCUCAACCCCGUCGAGCCGUUGAAACUGGCAGCCUAGAGUGGGCGAGAAGUAUGCGGAAUGCGUGGUGUAGCGGUGAAAUGCAUAGAUAUCACGAAGAACUCCGAUUG
rnacentral:rRNA from 1 species